rnacentral:rRNA from 1 species
UKCAUCGGCUAACUCCGUGCCAGCAGCCGCGGUAAUACGGGGGAUGCAAGCGUUAUCCGGAAUCAUUGGGCGUAAAGCGCCUGUAGGUUGUUUAAUAAGUCUGUUGUUAAAGACUAGGGCUUAACCCUAGAAAAGCAAUGGAAACUACUAGACUAGAGUAUGGCAGGGGUAGAGGGAAUUUCUAGUGUAGCGGUGAAAUGCGUAGAUAUUAGAAAGAACACCGGUGGCGAAAGCGCUCUACUGGACCAUUACUGACACUCAGAGGCGAAAGCUAGGGUAGCAAAAGGGAUUAGAUACCCCUGUAGUCCUAGCCGUAAACGAUGGAUACUACAUGUUGUGCAUUACGUACAGUAUGGUAGCUAACGCGUUAAGUAUCCCGCCUGGGGAGUACGCUCGCAAGGGUGAAACUCAAAGGAAUUGACGGGGGCCCGCACAAGCGGUGGAGCAUGUGGUUUAAUUCGAUGCAACGCGAAGAACCUUACCAGGACUUGACAUACUACAAAUUCUUUUGAGAAAGAGAAGUGCCUUCGGGAAUGUAGAUACAGGUGGUGCAUGGCUGUCGUCAGCUCGUGUCGUGAGAUGUUGGGUUAAGUCCCGCAACGAGCGCAACCCUUAUUUUUAGUUACCAAUUCGUUGGGUUCUCUAGAAAGACUGCCGGUGACAAACCGGAGGAAGGUGAGGAUGACGUCAAGUCAGCAUGCCCCUUAUGUCCUGGGCUACACACGUGCUACAAUGGUUAAGACAAAGAGUCGCGAGCUCGUGAGAGUGAGCUAAUCUCAUAAACUUAGCCCAAGUUCAGAUUGUAGGCUGCAACUCGCCUACAUGAAG